rnacentral:rRNA from 1 species
CCUACGGGAGGCAGCAGUGGGGAAUCUUGCGCAAUGGGCGAAAGCCUGACGCAGCCAUGCCGCGUGAAUGAUGAAGGUCUUAGGAUUGUAAAAUUCUUUCACCGAGGACGAUAAUGACGGUACUCGGAGAAGAAGCCCCGGCUAACUUCGUGCCAGCAGCCGCGGUAAUACGAAGGGGGCUAGCGUUGCUCGGAAUUACUGGGCGUAAAGGGAGCGUAGGCGGAUAGUUUAGUCAGAGGUGAAAGCCCAGGGCUCAACCUUGGAAUUGCCUUUGAUACUGGCUAUCUUGAGUACGGAAGAGGUAUGUGGAACUCCGAGUGUAGAGGUGAAAUUCGUAGAUAUUCGGAAGAACACCAGUGGCGAAGGCGACAUACUGGUCCGUUACUGACGCUGAGGCUCGAAAGCGUGGGGAGCAAACAGGAUUAGAUACCCUGGUAGUCCACGCUGUAAACGAUGAGUGCUAGUUGUCGGCAUGCAUGCAUGUCGGUGACGCAGCUAACGCAUUAAGCACUCCGCCUGGGGAGUACGGUCGCAAGAUUAAAACUUAAAUGAAUUGACGG